AGACGAGGUGUUAGGAUGCAAUAUGUAUUUGUUUCACAGCUCACUCAAGUCUGGUCGGUACACACUUUGUUUGUUAUGUAGUUUUUAAUUUUGAGAUUUGUGCACAAAUGAGGAUAAAAUCAUUUAAAUAUGAAACUUCAUCUAUUUUUAAAGUUCGUUAUAUACUCCUCGUCAAAAAAAUAACCCAGAUGAAAAAGAUUCAAUUUGGAUGGUUCUGAUGGGUUCCAAUAUUAUUUUUAUGACACAAGAAAAGAGACAAUGUCAGCAAUUCGACGACGGCAAUUUUAAUAUUAUUGAAAAGACAGAACUUGUUCACGGCGUAUACGGGAAUGGAAAGCAAUAUCAACAUGUAUAAGAAUUAAAAAAUGCAAUUGUACGUGAAUGAGAUACGUUGAGUCAAAAUUAUAUCCAGAAACUACAUAUAUCGAUACCAAAUCGUAUAAUAGAAGUAAUAGAAAAUAAAAGGGGAUGUACCCAUUAUUAAAUAAACGAAAAACUUUACACAUGUCAUUGUGAAAUUAAAGAUAGCAUACCUGGGUUAUCUUUUUGACGAGGAAUGUAAUAUGAUUAUUAGAUAUGAAUAAAUAGUCAAAUCAUAAAGAUUAAAUCAAGAAAUUCAGUCAUACCUUUUUUUUUAUGUUAGGUUGGAGGCUAGGUGCUAUAAAGUCAAUAAAUAUGUAUUGCUCUAAUUUUUACUUUUAUGAAAUUAAAUUUUCCGAUAAGGAAGAAUUAAAUAUAAUUAAAGAUAAUUAAAGAUUUUAACUAGUAAAAAAUAAUCUCUCAAUUGUAUAUAUAUCUGUACAUUUAUAUUAUAAAAGUAGGAUGAGAAAUACACAAUAUAUACAAUUUUCUAAUAUUCUCAUUCAUGCAUAGCUUUGUAGCUACAGAUACUUUGAAAAACAGCAUUUAAUACUUCUUUAGCUGUGUGGGUAUCAGAAGUACUUAUUCUAACAAUACUCCCAAAUUCACGAAUGUAAUGAUCUAAUUCCACGUCUUUGGAUAAAGUUUUUGUUGCCAUAUAUUUAUUUGUUAAUUGUGAUAAUUUCAAUAAAUCAGAACUGAAAGCUUCA